GGGGGAUAACAUUUGGAAACAGAUGCUAAUACCGCAUAAAUCCAAGAACCGCAUGGUUCUUGGCUGAAAGAUGGCGUAAGCUAUCGCUUUUGGAUGGACCCGCGGCGUAUUAGCUAGUUGGUGAGGUAACGGCUCACCAAGGCAAUGAUACGUAGCCGAACUGAGAGGUUGAUCGGCCACAUUGGGACUGAGACACGGCCCAAACUCCUACGGGAGGCAGCAGUAGGGAAUCUUCCACAAUGGACGCAAGUCUGAUGGAGCAACGCCGCGUGAGUGAAGAAGGCUUUCGGGUCGUAAAACUCUGUUGUUGGAGAAGAAUGGUCGGCAGAGUAACUGUUGUCGGCGUGACGGUAUCCAACCAGAAAGCCACGGCUAACUACGUGCCAGCAGCCGCGGUAAUACGUAGGUGGCAAGCGUUAUCCGGAUUUAUUGGGCGUAAAGCGAGCGCAGGCGGUUUUUUAAGUCUGAUGUGAAAGCCCUCGGCUUAACCGAGGAAGUGCAUCGGAAACUGGGAAACUUGAGUGCAGAAGAGGACAGUGGAACUCCAUGUGUAGCGGUGAAAUGCGUAGAUAUAUGGAAGAACACCAGUGGCGAAGGCGGCUGUCUGGUCUGUAACUGACGCUGAGGCUCGAAAGCAUGGGUAGCGAACAGGAUUAGAUACCCUGGUAGUCCAUGCCGUAAACGAUGAAUGCUAGGUGUUGGAGGGUUUCCGCCCUUCAGUGCCGCAGCUAACGCAUUAAGCAUU
rnacentral:rRNA from 1 species